ACGGGAGGCAGCAGUGAGGAAUAUUGGUCAAUGGGCGGAAGCCUGAACCAGCCAAGUCGCGUGAAGGAUGAAGGUAUUAUGUAUUGUAAACUUCUUUAGUCGCAGGGAAAUAAGGCGGACGUGUCCGCUGAUGCUAGUAUGCGAAGAAUAAGGACCGGCUAAUUCCGUGCCAGCAGCCGCGGUAAUACGGAAGGUCCAGGCGUUAUCCGGAUUUAUUGGGUUUAAAGGGAGCGUAGGCGGAUUAUCAAGUCAGUGGUAAAAUCGUGUGGCCCAACCAUACCUCGCCAUUGAAACUGUUAGUCUUGAGUGCACGCAGGGAUGCUGGAAUUCGUUGUGUAGCGGUGAAAUGCUUAGAUAUGACGAAGAACUCCGAUCGCGAAGGCAGGUGUCUGGAGUGCAACUGACGCUGAGGCUCGAAAGUGCGGGUAUCAAACAGGAUUAGAUACCCUGGUA
rnacentral:rRNA from 1 species